GGUUAAGCGACUAAGCGUACACGGUGGAUGCCCUGGCAGUCAGAGGCGAUGAAGGACGUGCUAAUCUGCGAUAAGCGUCGGUAAGGUGAUAUGAACCGUUAUAACCGGCGAUUUCCGAAUGGGGAAACCCAGUGUGUUUCGACACACUAUCAUUAACUGAAUCCAUAGGUUAAUGAGGCGAACCGGGGGAACUGAAACAUCUAAGUACCCCGAGGAAAAGAAAUCAACCGAGAUUCCCCCAGUAGCGGCGAGCGAACGGGGAGCAGCCCAGAGCCUGAAUCAGUGUGUGUGUUAGUGGAAGCGUCUGGAAAGGCGCGCGAUACAGGGUGACAGCCCCGUACACAAAAAUGCACAUGCUGUGAGCUCGAUGAGUAGGGCGGGACACGUGGUAUCCUGUCUGAAUAUGGGGGGACCAUCCUCCAAGGCUAAAUACUCCUGACUGACCGAUAGUGAACCAGUACCGUGAGGGAAAGGCGAAAAGAACCCCGGCGAGGGGAGUGAAAAAGAACCUGAAACCGUGUACGUACAAGCAGUGGGAGCCUCUUUUAUGGGGUGACUGCGUACCUUUUGUAUAAUGGGUCAGCGACUUAUAUUCUGUAGCAAGGUUAACCGAAUAGGGGAGCCGAAGGGAAACCGAGUCUUAACUGGGCGUUAAGUUGCAGGGUAUAGACCCGAAACCCGGUGAUCUAGCCAUGGGCAGGUUGAAGGUUGGGUAACACUAACUGGAGGACCGAACCGACUAAUGUUGAAAAAUUAGCGGAUGACUUGUGGCUGGGGGUGAAAGGCCAAUCAAACCGGGAGAUAGCUGGUUCUCCCCGAAAGCUAUUUAGGUAGCGCCUCGUGAAUUCAUCUCCGGGGGUAGAGCACUGUUUCGGCAAGGGGGUCAUCCCGACUUACCAACCCGAUGCAAACUGCGAAUACCGGAGAAUGUUAUCACGGGAGACACACGGCGGGUGCUAACGUCCGUCGUGAAGAGGGAAACAACCCAGACCGCCAGCUAAGGUCCCAAAGUCAUGGUUAAGUGGGAAACGAUGUGGGAAGGCCCAGACAGCCAGGAUGUUGGCUUAGAAGCAGCCAUCAUUUAAAGAAAGCGUAAUAGCUCACUGGUCGAGUCGGCCUGCGCGGAAGAUGUAACGGGGCUAAACCAUGCACCGAAGCUGCGGCAGCGACGCUUAUGCGUUGUUGGGUAGGGGAGCGUUCUGUAAGCCUGUGAAGGUGUGCUGUGAGGCAUGCUGGAGGUAUCAGAAGUGCGAAUGCUGACAUAAGUAACGAUAAAGCGGGUGAAAAGCCCGCUCGCCGGAAGACCAAGGGUUCCUGUCCAACGUUAAUCGGGGCAGGGUGAGUCGACCCCUAAGGCGAGGCCGAAAGGCGUAGUCGAUGGGAAACAGGUUAAUAUUCCUGUACUUGGUGUUACUGCGAAGGGGGGACGGAGAAGGCUAUGUUGGCCGGGCGACGGUUGUCCCGGUUUAAGCGUGUAGGCUGGUUUUCCAGGCAAAUCCGGAAAAUCAAGGCUGAGGCGUGAUGACGAGGCACUACGGUGCUGAAGCAACAAAUGCCCUGCUUCCAGGAAAAGCCUCUAAGCAUCAGGUAACAUCAAAUCGUACCCCAAACCGACACAGGUGGUCAGGUAGAGAAUACCAAGGCGCUUGAGAGAACUCGGGUGAAGGAACUAGGCAAAAUGGUGCCGUAACUUCGGGAGAAGGCACGCUGAUAUGUAGGUGAAGUCCCUCGCGGAUGGAGCUGAAAUCAGUCGAAGAUACCAGCUGGCUGCAACUGUUUAUUAAAAACACAGCACUGUGCAAACACGAAAGUGGACGUAUACGGUGUGACGCCUGCCCGGUGCCGGAAGGUUAAUUGAUGGGGUCAGCGCAAGCGAAGCUCUUGAUCGAAGCCCCGGUAAACGGCGGCCGUAACUAUAACGGUCCUAAGGUAGCGAAAUUCCUUGUCGGGUAAGUUCCGACCUGCACGAAUGGCGUAAUGAUGGCCAGGCUGUCUCCACCCGAGACUCAGUGAAAUUGAACUCGCUGUGAAGAUGCAGUGUACCCGCGGCAAGACGGAAAGACCCCGUGAACCUUUACUAUAGCUUGACACUGAACAUUGAGCCUUGAUGUGUAGGAUAGGUGGGAGGCUUUGAAGUGUGGACGCCAGUCUGCAUGGAGCCGACCUUGAAAUACCACCCUUUAAUGUUUGAUGUUCUAACGUUGACCCGUAAUCCGGGUUGCGGACAGUGUCUGGUGGGUAGUUUGACUGGGGCGGUCUCCUCCUAAAGAGUAACGGAGGAGCACGAAGGUUGGCUAAUCCUGGUCGGACAUCAGGAGGUUAGUGCAAUGGCAUAAGCCAGCUUGACUGCGAGCGUGACGGCGCGAGCAGGUGCGAAAGCAGGUCAUAGUGAUCCGGUGGUUCUGAAUGGAAGGGCCAUCGCUCAACGGAUAAAAGGUACUCCGGGGAUAACAGGCUGAUACCGCCCAAGAGUUCAUAUCGACGGCGGUGUUUGGCACCUCGAUGUCGGCUCAUCACAUCCUGGGGCUGAAGUAGGUCCCAAGGGUAUGGCUGUUCGCCAUUUAAAGUGGUACGCGAGCUGGGUUUAGAACGUCGUGAGACAGUUCGGUCCCUAUCUGCCGUGGGCGCUGGAGAACUGAGGGGGGCUGCUCCUAGUACGAGAGGACCGGAGUGGACGCAUCACUGGUGUUCGGGUUGUCAUGCCAAUGGCACUGCCCGGUAGCUAAAUGCGGAAGAGAUAAGUGCUGAAAGCAUCUAAGCACGAAACUUGCCCCGAGAUGAGUUCUCCCUGACUCCUUGAGAGUCCUAAAGGAACGUUGAAGACGACGACGUUGAUAGGCCGGGUGUGUAAGCGCAGCGAUGCGUUGAGCUAACCGGUACUAAUGAACCGUGAGGCUUAACCUU
rnacentral:rRNA from 1 species